AAAGUCGUAACAAGGUUUCCGUAGGUGAACCUGCGGAAGGAUCAUUUCCGAACAAAACUUUAAUACCGACCCACCGUGUGCAAUGUUUUGGGUUUCCCUUUACUCCUUGUAGGUGAUACAGAUAUGUGUUUGGAAAAGAGAAAUCUUACCCUUAUAUAUAUCAUACUAUCAUCCUAUGGGGAGGCCUUUAUGAACUACCUUGCUUUAAAGGUUGAUGUAACCAUUUACUUAUACCAAAUGAAAAAUAAAGUAAUGAUACGACAACUUUUAACGGUGGAUCUCUUGGCUCGU
rnacentral:misc_RNA from 1 species